UGCCCAGUGGUCUAGAGGUCACGUGUUCGCGCAUGAGACUGAAGGUCGUGGGUUCGAAUCCCACUUGUGUG
rnacentral:tRNA from 1 species